AUAAGACAGGAAAUUGUGAAAUUUCCUUAUUAGAAUAGUUUAGUUAAGUCUAGUUUAGUUUUUGUGUUGUGAUACUCCAACCAUUAGAGAAUGGCUGGAGUAUCUUUUUU
rnacentral:sRNA from 1 species